rnacentral:rRNA from 1 species
CACGGAGGGGGCGAGCGUUAACCGGAUUUACUGGGUGUAAAGGGCGUGUAGGCGGUCUUUCAAGUCCGAUGAUAAAGACCGGGGCUCAACCCCGGGGGUGCGUUGGAUACUGUGAGGCUAGACGGUCGGAGGGGGUAGCGGAAUUUCCGGAGUAGCGGUGAAAUGCGCAGAUACCGGAAGGAACGCCGAUAGCGAAGGCAGCUACCUGGACGAUUGGGGACGCUGAGGCGCGAAAGCGUGGGGAGCAAGCCGG